ACGCUGGCGGCAGGCUUAACACAUGCAAGUCGAACGGUAACAGGGAUUAGCUUGCUAAUUUGCUAACGAGUGGCGGACGGGUGAGUAAUGCUUGGGAAUCUGGCUUAUGGAGGGGGAUAACUACGGGAAACUGUAGCUAAUACCGCGUAAUAUCGGAAGAUUAAAGGGUGGGACUUUCGAGCCACCUGCCAUAAGAUGAGCCCAAGUGGGAUUAGGUAGUUGGUUAGGUAAAGGCUGACCAAGCCGACGAUCUCUAGCUGGUCUGAGAGGAUGACCAGCCACACUGGAACUGAGACACGGUCCAGACUCCUACGGGAGGCAGCAGUGGGGAAUAUUGCACAAUGGGGGGAACCCUGAUGCAGCCAUGCCGCGUGAAUGAAGAAGGCCUUCGGGUUGUAAAGUUCUUUCGGUGACGAGGAAGGUUGAUAGGUUAAUAGCCUAUCAAAUUGACGUUAAUCACAGAAGAAGCACCGGCUAACUCCGUGCCAGCAGCCGCGGUAAUACGGGGGGUGCGAGCGUUAAUCGGAAUAACUGGGCGUAAAGGGCACGCAGGCGGUGACUUAAGUGAGAUGUGAAAGCCCCGAGCUUAACUUGGGAAUUGCAUUUCAUACUGGGUCGCUAGAGUACUUUAGGGAGGGGUAGAAUUCCACGUGUAGCGGUGAAAUGCGUAGAGAUGUGGAGGAAUACCGAAGGCGAAGGCAGCCCCUUGGGAAUGUACUGACGCCCAUGUGCGAAAGCGUGGGGAGCAAACAGGAUUAGAUACCCUGGUAGUCCACGCUGUAAACGAUGUCGAUUUGGGGAUUGGGCUUUGAGCUUGGUGCCCGUAGCUAACGUGAUAAAUCGACCGCCUGGGGAGUACGGCCGCAAGGUUAAAACUCAAAUGAAUUGACGGGGGCCCGCACAAGCGGUGG
rnacentral:rRNA from 1 species